UACGGGGGGGGCAAGCGUUGUUCGGAAUUAUUGGGCGUAAAGGGCGCGUAGGCGGCCUGAUAAGUCAAAGGUGAAAUCCCUCGGCUCAACUGAGGAAUUGCCUUUGAAACUGUCAGGCUUGAGGCCGGGAGGGGGUGGCGGAAUUCCCAGUGUAGCGGUGAAAUGCGUAGAUAUUGGGAGGAACACCAGUGGCGAAGGCGGCCACCUGGACCGGUUCUGACGCUGAUGCGCGAAAGCGUGGGGAGCAAACAGG
rnacentral:rRNA from 1 species